CGACCGGCGCACGGGUGAGCAACGCGUAUGCAACUUACCUAUCAGAGGGGGAUAGCCCGGCGAAAGUCGGAUUAAUACCCCAUGAAACAGGGGUCCCGCAUGGGAAUAUUUGUUAAAGAUUCAUCGCUGAUAGAUAGGCAUGCGUUCCAUUAGGCAGUUGGCGGGGUAACGGCCCACCAAACCGACGAUGGAUAGGGGUUCUGAGAGGAAGGUCCCCCACAUUGGUACUGAGACACGGACCAA
rnacentral:rRNA from 1 species